AUGGCUUCUUCGAUCAUCAACAACAACGCAGUCCAGGGUGAGACUUUUCUCCCCGGACAGAUCUUCGUAUUCGGCGGCUUUGCACUGCGGACCAAUUCGCUUGGCCAUCUGGAGCAGAUCGAAAGCUACGCCCCUGGCCGUCAGGUCAGAUUUGGAAGUUUGAACUUCACGGCUGACAUCCGCGGAGACUUGAUCUUCGAUGGAUUCGAGCCACAGCCGAGCGCACCGCACUGUCACGAUGGGCAUGAUUUAGCUCUGCAGCCGGACAGUGCCCUGGAGGCCGCACACGAGCCCGCUCUGACCCUCGAUUCGGAGCCGGCUGCGCAGACCGAGGACGGGUGGCUAGACACCGCCUCGGGGGCUGCAACCUCUACGGCGAUGGAGCCGAAUACUGGCCUUGUUCCUUGUGAAGCUCGUGAGUCAGAGGUGCCGGACUCCGAACCUCUCGCGACCCCUCCAAUCGAAUCCGAUUGGGCGCCGAUCAUGGAGUUCACCGCUGCGGACAUCUUUCAACACGCACCUUUCGGCGACAUCUUGAGUUCGCUAAAGUAUCUCUCGUUAUCAGGAGAGCCCUGGCCGGACUGCGGUCAGGAUGGUUGGGGUACGGACGACGAAGAAAUUCAAAGCCCACCCACCACCAACUUAGUAGCCACUGUCGACGAUCUAACCGACAUGCUAGACUUCGACUCCGAAGACAUCGACGGUAUGGACGACGAUGCCGGAGACGACCAAGAACCAGCGCCUACUGGGCACUGGAAAGCCACCUCAUCAUAUGACAUAUACAUGGUGGAUAUCCCAAAAGAUGGGAAUGGCGAAGGAACAGCGGAGGAUGACCCCUCCAAGAAACAGCCCAAGCGCCGGCGUCAGCGGCGCCGCUCUAAAUCCCGCCAUAGCAAGAAUGGAGAUUCUGGCACCGGAGAUAAUAACACCCUAGACAGUGCCGAAGACAACCCCCUCCAGCAAGAUUCAGCACAGGAGGACGGAGAAGCCAGCCCUCAUGAGAGAGCGGCAGACGAAGAGGUAGAGGAUGACAAUUACAUGCCUCCCUCCGGAGACGAGGCAAGCCUCGACGACGACGAAUUUGUCGUGCCCGAGGAUCCCGUCGAACAAGAGCGUUUUAAACGCAGGCUUAUGGCCACGACAAACAGCCUCAAGAAAAAGCAGCAAUAG
rnacentral:rRNA from 1 species